rnacentral:lncRNA from 1 species
UCCGAUUCAAUCCUUAAAAAAAUAAGAAUAUUGAUAUAUACAGGUUAAAAAAAGUUAAAGAAUAAGAAGUUUAUUACACAGUAAACUCCAUAAUUAUGAUAAAAAGGACUAUGCAUGUAAAUCAAACUCCAAAAGAAUCAAUCAAAAUAUUAUCUUCCUAACAAUGUCAUCGUGUAAUAAAAUUGAUAGGAACUAUCCCUUCUAACCUAUAGAAAUAUAUAUAAUCAACCAUCAUUCG